UACGAGGGGGGCGAGCGUUGUUCGGAAUUAUUGGGCGUAAAGGGUGCGUAGGCGGUUUGGUAAGUCUUAUGUGAAAUCUACAGGCUCAACUUGUAGUCUGCAUGAGAAACUGCCGGGCUUGAGUAUGGGAGAGGUGAGUGGAAUUCCUGGUGUAGCGGUGAAAUGCGUAGAUAUCAGGAGGAACACCUGUGGCGAAAGCGGCUCACUGGACCAUAACUAACGCUGAUGCACGAAAGCUAGGGGAGCAAACAGG
rnacentral:rRNA from 1 species